GCUGAUGCGUUGUUGGGUAGGGGAGCGUUCUGUAAGCCUGCGAAGGUGACCUGUGAGGGUUGCUGGAGGUAUCAGAAGUGCGAAUGCUGACAUAAGUAACGAUAAAGCGGGUGAAAAGCCCGCUCGCCGGAAGACCAAGGGUUCCUGUCCAACGUUAAUCGGGGCAGGGUGAGUCGACCCCUAAGGCGAGGCCGAAAGGCGUAGUCGAUGGGAAACGGGUUAAUAUUCCCGUACUUGGUGUUACUGCGAAGGGGGGACGGAGAAGGCUAUGUUGGCCGGGCGACGGUUGUCCCGGUUUAAGCGUGUAGGUGUGUGUUCCAGGUAAAUCCGGUUCACUUUAACACUGAGGCGUGAUGACGAGGCACUACGGUGCUGAAGCAACAAAUGCCCUGCUUCCAGGAAAAGCCUCUAAGCAUCAGGUAACAUCAAAUCGUACCCCAAACCGACACAGGUGGUCAGGUAGAGAAUACCAAGGCGCUUGAGAGAACUCGGGUGAAGGAACUAGGCAAAAUGGUGCCGUAACUUCGGGAGAAGGCACGCUGACACGUAGGUGAAGUGAUUUACUCAUGGAGCUGAAGUCAGUCGAAGAUACCAGCUGGCUGCAACUGUUU
rnacentral:rRNA from 1 species